UGAGUUAUGUCAUGUUAUCGAUAUGUGAAUACAUAGCAUAUCAGAAGGCACACCCGGAGAACUGAAACAUCUUAGUACCCGGAGGAAGAGAAAGAAAAUUCGAUUCCCUUAGUAGCGGCGAGCGAAACGGGAAGAGCCCAAACCAACAAGCUUGCUUGUUGGGGUUGUAGGACACUCUGUACGGAGUUACAAAGGACGACAUUAGACGAAUCAUCUGGAAAGAUGAAUCAAAGAAGGUAAUAAUCCUGUAGUCGAAAAUGUUGUCUCUCUUGAGUGGAUCCUGAGUACGACGGAGCACGUGAAAUUCCGUCGGAAUCUGGGAGGACCAUCUCCUAAGGCUAAAUACUCUCUAGUGAC
rnacentral:rRNA from 1 species